rnacentral:tRNA from 1 species
GGUGGUGGCUUAGUGGUAGAGCACUUGCCUAGCAUGUGUGAGGCCCUGGGUUCGAUUCUCAGCACCA